rnacentral:rRNA from 1 species
GGACUACACGGGUUUCUAAUCCUGUUCGCUCCCCGCGCUUUCGUGCAUGAGCGUCAGUUGACGUCCAGGGCGCUGCCUUCGCCGUCGGUGUUCUUCCGGAUCUCUACGCAUUUCACCGCUCCACCCGGAAUUCCGCGCCCCUCUCCGUCCCUCAAGCCUGCCCGUCUGGAAAGCACCCGCCCGGUUAAGCCGGGCGAUUUCACCCCCCACGCGGCAGGCCGCCUGCGCACCCUUUACGCCCAGUAACUCCGGACAACGCUCGCCUCCUACGUAUUACCGCGGCUGCUGGCAC